rnacentral:lncRNA from 1 species
GUAAUAAACUUAUACGGGUGAUUUCUAUAUAUAUUUGAAUAUCCAGAAUUUGUAAUAGACCUAUAGGCAUGAUUUCCAUUUGAAUAUGCAGAAUUAUAAUAAACUUAUUGGCAUGAUUUCUACUCUUUCGCAUGCAUAGUCACCUACUCUUUUCAUUAGCUAGCCCCAAAUGAUCAAUACAACUAUUUAAAAACCAAAAAUAAUAAAUUACAUCAAAAGUAUAAAGAAAAUACAACCAUAGAAAGCCUGAUUCUGACUUCCUGUCUGAAUUAUGAGAUAGACCAACUCUGAGAUCACUGAUCCAAAACCUUUCUCCAAUUUGAGUGUGUCAGAGUUUCCUAAGAGCCGGGAUGGGACUUCGGGCAGUGUUCACACCCAAAUUAUAUCACCAGAAUAGGGACAAGUGCAGUAUGGAAGGGCCAGCACUCAAGUGUCCAAGUUCAGAGAGAUCUCAAAGGGUCCCAAGGCAAGACUCACAAGAGGGGGCAGAACAUAAAGUGUAAGAGAGAGUGCAAGUGUAGAAACAAAAUUAUAAGGAACUAAGAAGGUAAAAAGGGGGGAGAAGUGCUGGAAAACAUCCAUAAACAAGUUAAACAAAGGGUUCAGGGAUUUGGGAAAUUUCCAAAGAUCCUAUUUGAUUAGGCAUUAACCAAUUCUAGGCAUGCACAACAAUAGAGAAUAUUUGUUAUGCUUACAGAAUCAACAAGAAUACACAACAUAUGAUGGUUACAUAGAGGUUAUGAUUAUAGGGAAUCAAGUUUGAGCCAUAGACAAUAAUACUCGCUAUUGCCGUGUCUCAAACAAACCAUUAGCAUCAAACACAUUAGGGUAGGGGGUUUGGGAUUCAUAAUAGGAGUAGAUAUAGCAUGCUAAAGUAAACAUUGAACUAAACUCAAGCAAUAGGCAAACAUGCAAGUAAAGGUAUUAAGUGAACACAUUGUUUGUGAUUGCUGAAAAUCUUAAUCAGGACAUACUAGUUUCAAGGAAGCCAAAUACAGUAAAAGCAAUAGCAUGACUUGAAAAACAUGCCACAGUACAAGUAUCAAAGAGAAUAGUUUCUGAGUGUGAGUGAGAGUUCAGAAACUAAGAGUGUUCUUAUACUUUUGGCGAUGAAAGAGCAUGGUAUUUAUAGUUUGAAAACAGGUAGAAAAUAAGGCAAGAAAGUAACCACUUACCAACUAAAAUCAAUCAGUAGAAUAACUUCAUUUAAUUAAGGAGUUCAAACUUAAACGGUAAUGAACACAAAUCAUUUAAGGAAUGAGAUCAAUAAGUAUCUUGUGCAAAGUAGACAAUUAGGGGUAAAUACAUAAGAGUUUAAUUAAGGAAAGAAUCUUUGAAAUACACGGUUAAACAAAUAAGGUAGGAAUCAAUCAGUACAUAGUAAAUCAAGGAGUUAGAGAUUCGAAACUACUGGUUAAUGAAUAAAACAAGUCAGAAAGGCUAAGGAAAGUUUUCAAAUCAAACCAAGAAAUAGGGAAAUUAGUAAAACAAGGAAAGAAUCAAUCAGACAUACACAAAGAGGUCUGAAAUCAAUCAAAAAUUGAAAGUCAUUUUAGAGGGGAAGCUCAACAUAUAUAAAGAGCACACAAGUAUUAGGCAUGCGAGGCUGAAUUUAGGACAAAGAAAAGUGUCACGCAAUUACAAAAUCAGUAAGUAGUGGAUUAUUGGAACAUAGUAGUCCUAUAGGUUAGUUUCAAUAUCUUAGCAAUGGAGAAGAGAGAGAGUAUUAAAUAGCGUGCAAUGGGUCCAAUAGAAAGACCUUAGAAGAGUUUAGCGGGGAUUCGAAAUCGUAUAAAGAAACAAAAGAUUUUGAGAUUCCGUCAAGCAACAGAUGAGACAACUUCAGAAACUCAAAUAGGUCCAAAGGAAUUAGGGUUUUGAAACUAAACAAAUUCAGAGAUGGGGAACAAACAAAUCAUGUAGAAAAUAACUUCAGAACUCGACUGAACCCCAAAUCCUAGGAUUUUUGACACCAAUCGAGUGUAGAGAUGAAAGACAAGAGUG